rnacentral:rRNA from 1 species
UACGGAGGUGCAAGCGUUAUCCGGAUUCACUGGGUUUAAAGGGUGCGUAGGCGGGUUGGUAAGUCCGUGGUGAAAUCUCCAAGCUUAACUUGGAAACUGCCGUGGAUACUAUCAAUCUUGAAUAUCGUGGAGGUAAGCGGAAUAUGUCAUGUAGCGGUGAAAUGCUUAGAUAUGACAUAGAACACCAAUUGCGUAGGCAGCUUACUACACGAUCAUUGACGCUGAGGCACGAAAGCGUGGGGAGCAAACAGG